rnacentral:rRNA from 1 species
AUUGAACGCUGGCGGCAGGCCUAACACAUGCAAGUCGAGCGAGCGGCGGACGGGUGAGGACUGUGUGGGAAACUGCCUGAUGGAGGGGGAUAACUGCUGGAAACGGUAGCUAAUACCGCAUACCAUCCGGUGUGCCCAGAUGGGAUUAGCUGGUGGGGGGGUGAACGGCUUACCUAGGCGACGAUCCCUAGCUGGUCUGAGAGGAGGACCAGCCACACUGGAACUGAGACACGGUCCAGACUCCUACGGGAGGCAGCAGUGGGGAAUAUUGGACAAUGGGCGAAAGCCUGAUCCAGCCAUGCCGCGUGUGUGAAGAAGGUCUUCGGAUUGUAAAGCACUUUAAGUUGGGAGGCGUUACCAACAGAAUAAGCACCGGCUAACUUCGUGCCAGCAGCCGCGGUAAUAC